GUAGCUGGAACCACAAAUAUUCAUCACCCCACCUGGCUAACUUUUUCGUUUUUAUUUUUUAUAGAGACAAGUUCUCCCUAAGUUGCCUAGGUGCCAGUCCAAAUACAGACACAUGAGAAUGUGGAUAGAUCCUCGAGUUCUCUCCGAACCUUCCUUCCAUGAAGUUAUAUACUCUAUAGAAUCAGUGGGUGAGUUGAUUUAGGAGAGGUGCCAGUAUGAGCCUGGAGUAGCUUACUUGGUCAGAUCCAAAAUAUGGGUUUGGCUAAAUAUAGGGAUCUAGGGGAGAAGGUGGAAAACGCUUGCUGGGCCAAUGCCAAGUAUGAAGCAAUGCUGACCUUGGCAAUUUUUAGCAUCCAAUUUUCACCCGUUAAGAGAGGAAGGUUAAAAGGUAUAAAUAAAUGCAAAGGCCAUAAUAAAAUCAUUGUGGAAUUAAAACAUUAAGCCCAUGGGCUCUUAAUUAUAAAAUAGCAAUAUAUUGUUUACAAACGUUCUUAUAUUAGGGACUUAGGGAUUUCACAGGAUGCUUUUUUUCUUUUCUUUUCUUUUCAGGGACAGCAUCACUUUUGCUCUGCUGCUCAGGCUGGAGGGCAGCAGCAUGACCUUGGCUCACUGCAGCCUCCACCUCCUGGGCUCAAGCAAUUCUCCCACCUCAGCCUCCUGAAUAGCUGGAGUCUCAAUAUGUUGCCCAGGCUGGUCUCAAACUCCUACCUCAACUGAUCUUCCAACCCCAGCCUUCCAAAGUGUUGGGAUUACAGGCACAAGCCACCGUGUCUGGCCAGGAUGCUUGUCUUAAAAACAAAGAUUUACUACCAGCAACCUGGCUGGCCCAAAAUGUGACUGGCAGCUUAUUUUAUAUUCCCCAUACACAUUAAAUGUAGAAAAUUAGUAACUAUUAGAUUUGAUUAAAUAUUAAAAUGUCAUAUUGUUCAGCCAAUGAACAAAUUGUUUUCAAGCUGCUCUGGGGGGAAUGACUAGCCUGCUACCUUUUUAUGGUGUUAGUUAUAUGGUAUUUUCUCUUCCUCCCUUCAUAGUAAAAAUCCUUGAAGGCUUACUCUCCUUGAGAACACUUCCUCAUGGGUUUUUGAAUCUCCAGCUCUUUCCUCUCCCAGGUACUGAAACCAUAUUUUUCACAGGCCCCUUUACCUGCCCAAGGGUCAACUUGAUUCUUCUCCUUUGCCAUUUUGCACCAUUGACCAUGUUGAAAAUCCUUGCACUUGCUGUCUGCUGCACUCUUCUUGUAUUUUGUUUUCUUCUGAAUUCUGAUGAAUACUGUUCUGUUGUUUUAUGGUGCAUGCUCAGGGUUCUGUUCAUUAUCAUCUUCUCUUUGCCUGAUCCUUUAUCUUUAAGCAAACCCAUCCAUUCUUGCUACUCCAGUUAUCUCCUCUAUCCAACGAGCUGGGCCACCAUGAUUUUUCUCCUAAGCUUGUUAUCUUCACCUGGAUUUCCUCAAGCUCAGUAUAUAAAGCCAAAACUCUUCAAUUGUCUCUGUAAACCAGCUCUCCUAUCCCUUCCCCCUUUGUCUCAGCCAUUUGGUUUGUAUAUGGAAAUAAACCUCCUGGUGUUAAAACCUUAAAACUUCAGCAUUAUCUUUGUCUCUACACUGUUGUUUGACCUCUAGAUCCAGGAAAUACCCCAGUUUCAUUAUAAGGCCUGUCAAUUUUAUCUCACAAUGUUUUUCACACUUAUAAGCUAGAUAGACCGAAGCAAGGGUCGGUGUGCACAUUCUCUGUGAUGCUCAUUCUUAUGUUCUCAAGAUAGUUGCUUGAACUCUAGCUGCAGCUUCUGCAUUUCAGGUAGAAAGGAAGAGGAUGAUCACAGAAUCAAAGGGCAUCUGCCAACUGAAUCUGCCACCCUUUAAGGGGAGCAUUCCUGAAAGCAACAUGUAAUAAUCUUUGCUGACAUUGAAUUGAGCAGGGUAGUGUCGCAUGACCACUCUGAUCUACAAGGGAGGCAGAGAAAUGGAGUUCAAAAGAUCGGGACACAGUGCUGUUUCAAUAAAUGGGAGUUAUAUUGGAAAGGACGAAAGUGCAAAAUGUUUUGGGGUGGGCAAUUGACAGUCUCUACACACCUUUUUUCUUAACUUUCCUAUGUUUACUUGAAAUAAAUUUCCACUGACUUUGAAUAAAACACUCCUUGUUUUCCACCAUCAUCAUCUAACUUGACAUCUUCACUGUCCUUUUGCUUAGAUUUUUACAAAGCCAAGUGGACUCUGUGUGCCUCUACUUCACUGCUACCGAGAGGUGAAGUCAGCUGGGCUUCUGGGUGGGGUGGAGACUUGGAGAACUUUUCUGUCUAGCUAGAGGAUUAUAAACACACCAAUCAGCACUCUGUAGAAAUGCACCAAUCAGCGCUCUGUGUCUAGCUAAAGGUUUGUAAACGCACCAAUCAGCACUCUGUAAAACGGACCAAUCAGCACUCUGUAAAAUGGACCAAUCAGCAGGACAUGGGCAGGGCCAAAAAAGGGAAUAAAAGCUGGCCACCUGCACCAGUAGCGGCAACUCCCUCAGGUCCCCUUCCAUGCUGUUGAGUUUUGUUGUUUCGCUCUUUGCAAUAAAUCUUACUGCUGUUCACUCUUUGGGUCCGCACUGCCUUUAUGAGCUGUAACACUCAAACUGCGAAGGUCUGUGGCUUCACUCCUGAAGUCAGUGAGACCAUGAACCCACCAGCAGGAAGAAAUUGGACACAUCUGAAGAAACAAACUCCAGACACACCAUCUUUAAGAGCUGUAACACUCACUGCAAAAGUCCGCGACUUCAUUCUUGAAGUCAGCGAGACCAAGAACCCACAGGAAGGAAUAAAUUCCAGACACACUACUACUGUCCCUGUUCAUUAAUCUAUUUAUUCGGCAAGAAAAUAUUGAUAACAGGCACUGUCCUGUGUACUAGAGAUGGACAGAAUCAUGACUUUUGGCUUCAGGGCCUCACAGUUCAGUUGGAGAGAGCAACAUGGCACCAGUUGAUUCCAGGGCAACACAAUUAGUGACAUAACAGAGACAGAUGAAAGGGAUUGCAGAAGCAGAGAGAGCAUCCUGACUAAUUGAAUCUGCAAAUGGUGAAGAAGCCCUUCCAGGGGUGAUGCUGUGAGCUGAAUUGUGUAUUAGUAGGAAUUUCUCGGUUCAACACACAGAGAAAUAACAAGUUUUCUGUUGUAAACUAUUCCUUACUAAUUAAAAACAAAGUGGUUAUAUUCUUGACCUGACUCUGAAUUUAAUUUUUUAAGAAUGUAAUCAUAAGUGAAGCAACUUUAAAUAUAGCAUUAUAGGGCACAGUAUUGAUAAAUGAGAGGAAAACUUUUUCUUAAAGAGUGUACCACUCACUUACCAUGCCCUGAAAUUAACUGAGAACUCAUUUGUCAAGAGAGCACCUACCCUAUAGAGAAUUCUUCCAAUUAACAUCAAAAGCGAUCAUUCUUAACCUCUCAUGCAUUAAGAAAAUCUUGUCUGCACCCAAUGUUCUGUUCAUAAUCAAUGAAGCCCCUUAUGUAUGUUAUUGCAAAUUUAUCACCUUGUAUAUUACUAAAAUGGAUGAAUUAAUAAAUGAAUCUGCUGUAGGUCCAGAA